GAAGGUAGUAAUCAAAUUUCAGUUAUCUUAGUGGUGAUCAUUAAUGAUGAUGCUACAUUCUUUGUAAUGUAAGCGGAAUAUUAACAUAAUAGUGACAUACACAGACGCUUCGCUUUUGGUGCCAUAAAAAUAGGACUUUCUCAAUCGCCCUUUUAGUACUCUAAGUUGGUCAAUGACAGAACUUUCAGUUUCCAUACAAGACAUGCAAGAAAUAGGCCAGGUUUAUGUUUAUCCAUGGACCAAAUACAGAUCAUAUCAACACUUCCCACUCAUUUGUUAGAUGUACUCCUGGUAGUGGACAGUGUGCAGACCAUUACUAAUUCAUCUGGAGUUUUUUAUAAAAAAUAUUGUACACCACCAAGGAACGUUGUUGCAAGUUAGAGUUAUGACAUCCUGACGUAGUACUGGGUUUGACGGUACAGCCGUACAAGCUACAUAUCAACUUCCCAUUCUAUGGCCUAUCACAAAGAAGUUAUUUGAAUACAAGAUUAAUUGGAGUUUUCGAAGCAGAUCUUCGAGGCCUAACAUCAGCAUUAGUUACUUUAUCACCCAACAAACAACAUUCUUAUGGCUUAAUCAAAGAUCGAAAAUCAAGGUACCGCAUUGGGAGAAUUGGAGAAGAGUUGGUAUAGAUGCACUAGAAUGAGUUUGUAUGCUGUAUGUUUAUUAUUUCAACUAUUGUCUGUCUUCUCUUUUGGCUCCUCAGCUACUUGUUGGGGAGUGGUUUUGUUGGUUGGUAAUAAUAUU